UGCUGAGUUUGUCACAAAGGAAAAAAAAAAGGGAAAGAAAUUUCAGGUCAAUACAUGUAUCCUGCUAAUCUAAAUCCUUCUUGGAAGUAGGCAGUUCUUAGUAUAUAGUCAUUUGGGCACCUCUCCAACUGCAGUGCACAAAUAGAAAAUAAUCCUUUUCCAAACUGCCACUCCCGUUUGGUGAAUCAUUUGGUAGGAGCCAUGAGCUAUUGGAAGUUGUCCACAGUUUCGUACCAGUGUGCCAUUCUGGGAAGAACGUCUGCCAUGAUGUCAGAAGAACUUGCCUUCAGAUCUCAUGUCUUAUUGGGACAUUAGGCUCUGAUUCAAAGAUGCCCUCUGUGUUUGGGUAUGUUUGCCUCCGAGCAGACACAGAAGGGGCUAUGGACUUGGAGCUGCCCCCUGGGGCUGGUGGCAGCUGUGCGGUGAGACGUGACCAAGGGCUACCUACAGACCAGGAGAAACUCUAUCUCUGCAGUAACUGGAGAGAAGACAGGAGGACUUAGCAGUAAGGAAGGAGGUGCCCACUCGCAUGCUUCAGGCAUGAUAAUCAUCUUCUUUUACUAAAGACUCCUUAUCUUUGGAGAGCCUGGCUGGCUGGUCAAUGGAGCAUGUGACUCUUGAUCUUGGAGUCCUGAGUUCAAGCCCCAUGUUGGGCAUAGAGCUUCCUUUAAAUAAAAGAAUCUUUAUCUUUAAGAGAUUCA
rnacentral:lncRNA from 12 species